GUUGAUGCAGGUAAAGAUAAAGUG
rnacentral:siRNA from 1 species